GCCUGUGACCCAGCUGAUUGAGGAAGACUUCCAACACAUUCCGAAUUCUCAGGUUCAUUGAAAUUUUAUAUCUUCAAAAAUUUCUUUCACACUUGCCCCCAAUUCCUUAUUUUCAAUGUUUGAACAUGUUUACGGGCCAUUUUUGGCCCUGAACUUUGUUCGGCCGACACUAUGCCAAUUAAGGUUGAAUUUCAGCCCUAUUUUGCCAUAAGCUCAUACCCUCCCUCGAUCGCCCUCUUGAGGCUCCGCGAAGUGGCCCAACUUUUCAGGCGGAUGUGGUGGGAGUCUACCGCCAUCACAGUCGACCAUGUGAUGGUCACCAAUGGUGUAUCUUCUACUAUUCCCAAAGACGGAAGUGCACCACCUGAGCCCGUCUUUAUGUUGACCUCGGGGGCUCCUGCUUUGGUGAUCGACGAUAUUCCGUCCGAACUCCAACUUGAGGUUGGAGAGUCUUCAUCCUUUGUUCCCGUCGAGAUCACCAUGAAUCCAUUAGCGGAGGAUGGAAGAAGCUUGGCCAUGGUUCCUCACAAAGAGGCCCCUCUACCAUCUCAUGAUUAGCCAUUUGGUGACAUUUUUUACUUUCUCGACUAGUGGGAUGCAUCUAUAUCUUCGGCAGAGGCUUCCACUUGCCUUGCCACUUCUUCCACCAUAACUGGGGCCCUACCAGAUUCCGGGGCUAAGGCCCUACUUCGGUCAUACAUAGAUGGAGAUCUCAUGUCCUUGGAGGACAAAGAUGAGAGAAACAAGCUCAAGGCUGCCAUCGAGACUUUGGCUAGGCAGAGCAUUGGGAUUCACUGGGUAGAGCAUUGAGGUGGUGAGUUGAAAUGGCUCAUGCUUUUGAGACGACAACUUCAUUGAUUUGGGGUCCUUGGAGUGCUCUAGUACUGUUGUUGCAGGAUUUCUUUCAAGAAGAAAUGCUUUCACAGGUUCUUAACUGAAGUCCGCACGCUUCCUUGAUUGAAAAGAACCCCGAACUGCGUCUCCAAAAAUGAACAAUGGAAAUGGGGGGAGUACCUGCAAAAGCCACUCCGACGCUCAAAAUAAACGUUGAUUGCUACAUCUUCCAACCACUUAGAAAUACUUGCUCUCCAUGAAGCCAGUCGUGAAUGUGUUUGGUUAAGGUCAGCGAUCCAUCACAUCCGGAGCACAUGUGUAAUACCCUGAAAAAAAUUAAAAGUGGACUUUUGUAUUUCAGUGAAAUAAUAAUAAUA